UCGGAAAGUGUGUGACGCAUGUGUUUGCCUAGUUUAUAUCUGUUGCUUGUAUUCGUUGCUUUGAAUUUACUUUGCUUUAUAACGUGAGACCCUCGUUCGGUGCUGUCGUCCCGCGACUGUAUAUCCCGUGUUGGCCGCAUUUGAUAAUUUGCAAUGAAAUACUUUGAUUUCAAGGUGAAAUGGAGGAAGUUUUGAAAUAUUUGAGCAUCAACUGGACCUUGAUAUUCUGCCGACUCAACAUGUUCUCAUCAGCAGAGGGAAGCCAGAUCUCAAAGACGGUUGGCAGCCCAGUGAGCCUGCACUGCAACGCCUCCACCAGUAAAUUCAUUCAGCUGACAUGGAAUAUGAAUGGAGUUUACCUGUUCAGUUACAGCUCCGGCGGAGAGCUUCACUACAGUCCAGAAGCCGCAGCGCUAAACUUGAAUGUUUCUACAUCAGCGUCUCGGCUGUAUGCGCUCCUGAUCGACAAGGCCCAGAAGCAUCACGCUGGAAACUACAGCUGCGAGUCGACUACAGUGGCAGGAAUCUUCAGCCAAAACUGGGAGCUCAUUGUAACCGAGAGAGAAGAGAAAAAGCUCGACGUCCUCAUGAUUUCUGUGGGAACGACAGUCGUCUGUGUGUGUUUUCUGAUCUUCAUAUUCACUUGAAUUUUCCUGAGAACCGUCUGCAAGAAGGACAAAGAAAUUUCCGUUAACCCCAUACAAGAAAUGCAGCAAACUGAGGACAUUUAUGAAAACUGCUUGAAAAUUGAACAAAGAAACAAGAAACAUUCCAUUGGUGACAAGCCUUAGUGAAUCGAAUAUUUAAGAAAACCUGUUCUGAAUGUCAUAUUUUUUUAGUUUAUUUGUUUUUAAUGUACUUUAUGUGAAAGAGCGCACAAUAUUUGUUUUUUUUUGUCUUUCUCUCUCCGGCCACCGGAACACCUGCACAUUCUUAUUUAAGUUAAGUAAAUUAAUUUAAGGUAAAAUCUCUGACUCUUAGUUCUGCAUAUCCAGCUGCACCUUUUACUUUUAUUUCUAUUUUAGUCCAGAAGCUGUAGCUCUUGUUAUGACAGGUGUUUCAUGUGGACAGAGGGAAGUGGUCGCCCGUGGGCAGGGCAGAAAAACUCACAGGAAGUACGCCACACUCUUCUGAAGCCAUCAGUGCUGAGAGACUAAGUGAUUUUACUUUUGCAGCACGUUUCCACUGCAUUAGUGGUUCAGCGUGUUGCUCCAGGGAACAUCGACACAAGAGCAACUAGCAACCCUCCAGCCGAGCCACAGCCGCCCUGCAUCAUCAUUUCAGCUCAAAGCUUUAAUUUUCCUGCUCUCAGCUUGAACCGCAGCCUCACGAGUCAAAAGAGGGCAGAGCGACGCAAAGCAGAGCAGAGCUCUCAGUUUGUCAGUGAGUCAAACGUUUCCAUGCAUGAACCGUGACCUGGAACCAAAUGGACGCCCUGGAUAUGAAAAGAUUAGUUCCAAGCAUCAGGGAGGGGCCGAAACCAAAUCACCCAAAUCACAUCUUAUUUACAGAGCACCUUUCACACACGGUGUGGCUCAAAGAGCUUGGCAGGUUGAAAACACAAAAAGAUUAAUUAAACCACAACAUCCCCUUUCUGCGCGCGCGCGCGCGCACACACACACACACACCUCCUGUCCACCCACUACCGACACACAUCUGUCUCCUCGGGGAACGGUGGUCUGGACAGGAUUUUCUGACUCAUUUAAUUCCCACUGUUACACCAUGUGGAAUGAAAAACAAGACGGAUGGAUGGAUGGAUGGAUGGAUGGAUGGGAAAAAAGAGAAAGACAGGACUCUGAGUGUCCACAUGCUCAGUAAAGUGGCUGGUAAUGAAUUAAAGGAAGCUGCAGCGUAAAUCAAACAACAGUCCCAAAAGUAAAGGUGUGAUCAGAAUAAUCUAUUGAUAACAUUUACUUUUUGAUUCACAGUUUCACAUUUUUUAGAGUUUAUAAGGGAGAAGAGCUGCAAUGGUUAGAAAUGUUAGAUGUUUUACAUUUUAUCUAUUGUCCCACUUUUCAUCAUGAAAUUGAAAAUCUUCAAUAAUUUUGAAUUAUUAACUCACCUUAUGUUUUCUAGUAGGGGCUACAUUCUGUGUUGGACUUGCCUCCAUCAAUGAAGCACCAACAUUUUUUUAAUUGGAAAACAUGUUCUGUGAAAAUAUAAAUUAGUACAGCUAAAAACAAGAUGAAGAGUUGCGCAGAAGCAGAUGUUUGUUGUUCUCGGUGGUUAUAAGUGUGAAACAAAAAGGAUGUGGGGAGGUAAAAAUAGCUCAGUACCCAUGAAGCAUUGCUUCCAUCCUGCAUCAAGCUACUUCAGAAGCCUCUGAUAAAGCUUUGAUAAUGUCUGCUAUUGCAAUGUUCAGCUGCUCCAGCCUGGCACACCAGACUGUCUCUCCAUGCUCAGGGAUACAUGUCUUUAUAUGUGUGUAACAUAAAUAAAGUCAGUCUGGCACGCCAGGCUGCAGCUGCUCAGCUGUGGUCCUGUACAGGCAGGAAAUAAAGGAUUUGCACUUUGCUGAUGUGUCUCCAGCCGGGUCACCUGGACAGGAUUAUUUGUUCAGAUGACUUUUCACUUUUCUUACUUAUUAAACUAA